GUUCAGCGAAGAACAAGAGGACUGGCUGAAGGGACGCCAGAAUAUUUCAGAAACCGUGAACUCGGCUAAAUAUGCCCAGCGGCUGCAAUAUUUUGGCGUUGACCCUUCUAGUCAGGCGCCCACCCUUGCAUCUAGGAUCAUCGAGUACGAGAAGCAGCUUUACGCGGUCUUCGAGUGGGCGAAGAAAGGGGAGAGUGCUCCCGACGUUCAAGAAAUUAGCAACGUGUGGGAAUACACUGGGGGAUACAUCAACAGAAGUGAGUGGGCGAAAGUGUUUCCCAGAUACACCAAUAAGACUUACAAGGGUACUGACCACAUCGUGUAUCA